UACGUAGGGGGCGAGCGUUGUCCGAAGUUACUGGGCGUAAAGCGCGCGUAGGCGGGGGAUUAAGUGGGGUGUGAAAGCCCGGGGCUCAACCCCGGGACGCCGCUUCAAACUGGCGGGCUUGAGGACGGAAGAGGGGAGUGGAAUUCCUGGUGUAGCGGUGAAAUGCGUAGAGAUCAGGAGGAACACCCGUGGCGAAGGCGGCUCCCUGGUCCGUCCCUGACGCUGAGACGCGAAAGCGCGGGGAGCGAACGGG
rnacentral:rRNA from 1 species